rnacentral:rRNA from 1 species
CUGGCGGCGUGGAUUAGGCAUGCAAGUCGAACGAGAAUGGGAUUAGCAAUAGUCCCUAGUACAGUGGCGAACGGGUGAGUAACGCGUGGGAAACCUGCCCUCGAGUGGGGAAUAACAACUCUAACGGGUUGCUAAUACCGCAUAACAUUGCGGGCCGCAUGGUCUGCAAUCAAAGGUGGCCUCUACUUGUAAGCUAUCGCUUGAGGAUGGUCCCGCGUCCCAUUAGCUUGUUGGUAGGGUAACGGCCUACCAAGGCGACGAUGGGUAGCCGGCCUGAGAGGGUGGUCGGCCACACUGGAACUGAGACACGGUCCAGACUCCUACGGGAGGCAGCAGUCGAGAGGCUUCGGCAAUGGGGGAAACCCUGACCGAGCGACGCCGCGUGGGUGAUGAAGUCCUUCGGGAUGUAAAACCCUGUCAUACGGGAUGAAAAACUGAUCGGUUAAUAGCCUUUCGGUUUGACAGUACUGUAAGAGGAAGCUCCGGCUAACUCCGUGCCAGCAGCCGCGGUAAUACGGGGGGAGCGAGCGUUAUUCGGAUUCACUGGGCGUAAAGGGUUCGUAGGCGGUCAAGUAAGUCAGGGGUGAAAUCUAACGGCUUAACCGUUAAACUGCCCUUGAAACCGCUUGACUUGAGGACAUGAGAGGAAAGCGGAAUUCUUGGUGUAGCGGUGAAAUGCGUGGAUAUCAAGAGGAACACCAGUGGCGAAGGCGGCUUUCUGGCAUGUUACUGACGCUGAGGAACGAAAGUCAGGGGAGCGAACGGGAUUAGAUACCCUGGUAGUC